UACGUAGGGUGCAAGCGUUAAUCGGAAUUACUGGGCGUAAAGCGUGCGCAGGCGGUUUUGUAAGUCUGUCGUGAAAUCCCCGGGCUCAACCUGGGAAUUGCGAUGGAGACUGCAAGGCUAGAAUCUGGCAGAGGGGGGUAGAAUUCCACGCGUGAGCAGUGAAAUGCGUAGAGAUGUGGAGGAACACCGAUGGCGAAGGCAGCCCCCUGGGUCAAGAUUGACGCUCAUGCACGAAAGGCGUGGGGAGCAAACAGGAUUAGAAACCCCG
rnacentral:rRNA from 1 species